rnacentral:rRNA from 1 species
GGCUCAGGACGAACGCUGGCGGCGUGCUUAACACAUGCAAGUCGAGCGGGAAACUUCGGUUUCCAGCGGCGGACGGGUGAGUAACACGUGGGCAACCUGCCUCACAAUAGGGGAUAGCCCUCCGAAAGGAGGAUUAAUACCCUAUAACACAAGGAAAACGCAUGUUUUCUUUGCCAAAGAAUUUCGUUGUGAGAUGGGCCCGCGGCGCAUUAGCUUGUUGGUGAGGUAACGGCUCACCAAGGCUUCGAUGCGUAGCCGACCUGAGAGGGUGAUCGGCCACAUUGGAACUGAGACACGGUCCAGACUCCUACGGGAGGCAGCAGUGGGGAAUAUUGCACAAUGGAGGAAACUCUGAUGCAGCAACGCCGCGUGAGUGAUGAAGGUCUUCGGAUUGUAAAACUCUGUCUUAUGGGACGAUAAUGACGGUACCAUAGGAGGAAGCCACGGCUAACUACGUGCCAGCAGCCGCGGUAAUACGUAGGUGGCAAGCGUUGUCCGGAUUUACUGGGCGUAAAGGAUGUGUAGGCGGAUAUUUAAGUGAGAUGUGAAAUCCCCGGGCUUAACUUGGGGGCUGCAUUUCAAACUGGAUGUCUAGAGUGCAGGAGAGGAAAGCAGAAUUCCUAGUGUAGCGGUGAAAUGCGUAGAGAUUAGGAAGAAUACCAGUGGCGAAGGCGG